rnacentral:piRNA from 1 species
UGGAAGGCAAAGACGGAAAACAAAUGCGCCU